rnacentral:rRNA from 1 species
CCAGACUCCUACGGGAGGCAGCAGUGGGGAAUAUUGCACAAUGGGCGGAAGCCUGAUGCAGCAACGCCGCGUGCGGGAUGACGGCCUUCGGGUUGUAAACCGCUUUCGCCUGUGACGAAGCGUGAGUGACGGUAAUGGGUAAAGAAGCACCGGCUAACUACGUGCCAGCAGCCGCGGUGAUACGUAGGGUGCGAGCGUUGUCCGGAUUUAUUGGGCGUAAAGGGCUCGUAGGUGGUUGAUCGCGUCGGAAGUGUAAUCUUGGGGCUUAACCCUGAGCGUGCUUUCGAUACGGGUUGACUUGAGGAAGGUAGGGGAGAAUGGAAUUCCUGGUGGAGCGGUGGAAUGCGCAGAUAUCAGGAGGAACACCAGUGGCGAAGGCGGUUCUCUGGGCCUUCCCUGACGCUGAGGAGCGAAAGCGUGGGGAGCGAACAGGCUUAGAUACCCUGGUAGUCCACGCUGUAAACGGUGGGUACUAGGUGUGGGGUCCAUUCCACGGGUUCCGUGCCGUAGCUAACGCUUUAAGUACCCCGCCUGGGGAGUACGGCCGCAAGGCUAAAACUCAAAGGAAUUGACGGGGGCCCGCACAAG